rnacentral:lncRNA from 1 species
CUCAGGGCCCCCGCAGGCCUGGGAGCGGCCUGUGAUAACUGGUGUAUCUGGCAGGAGUAGCAGCUGCCCCUUGGCGCGACUGCUGGAGCCGCGAACUAGAGAAACACAGACACGCCUCAUAGAGCAACAGCGUCUCUCGGAGCGUGGAGCCCGCCAAGCUCGAGCUGAGCUUUCGCUUGCCGUCCACCACUGCCCACCACUGUCGUUUGCUGCCAUCGCAGACCUGCUGCUGACUUCCAUCCCUCUGGAUCCGGCAAGCCAACCCAGCUCCUAUGGUCCCACCCAGAAGCAAUUCAGCCCACAGAAGGGCAGCUUUGACGCCUAUUUCAUCUCCACCCCAGUCAAUCAACAGCAAGCACCUAUUACCUGGCCACCCCCUCCCUUCCCCCAAACUGCCUUUGAAAAACCCCUGACCUAAGACCUUUGGAGGAGAUCAUUUGAGUACAAACUCCAUUUCCCAUGUGGCAUGACUAGUCUUGUAUCUAUUAAACUUUCUCUACUACAGUGUUGUGGUCUGUCUUUACAGAGUGGGGCUUGAGGCUUUUUGCAAAAAUGUUGCUGUCCAGCCUAGUACUGUACCUAGCUUAUACUUGGUAAUCUUUUUCUCAAUCAGUCUAGUUAGGAGGUUUUCAAUUUUAUGAAUCUUUAUAAGAACUAGCUCUUACCUUUAUUGAUUUUCCUUACCUAUUUUUAAAUUUUAAUUGAUAUCUACUCUUAUUUUUAUUACCUCCUUCCUUCUACUUGGAGUUUAAUUUGCUAUCCUUUUUCCAGUUUCUAAGGUGAAAGUUUAGACUUUGAUUUUAAACCUUUAUUCUCUUUCACUACAAAUGUUUAAAGCUAACAUUUGCCUCCAAAUACUGCUUUAGCUCCAUCCCACAAAUUUUGAUAUAUUGUGUUUAUUAAUAAUGUUUAUUAUCAUUUAGUUCAAAAUAUUUUAAAGUUUUCUUUGCAAUUUCUUCUUUGACCCAUGGGUUAUGAAGGAAUGUGUUCCUUGAUUUCCAGAUAACUGCAGCUUUUCCAGAUAUCCUUCUGUUAUUGGUUAUCAGUUUAAUCCUCUUUUGGACACAGAGCAUAUUCUGAACAAUAAUAGUUCUUUGAAAUGUGUUGAGAUUUGGUUUAUGGCCCAGCAUAUGAUCUGUCUUGGUGGAUGUUCCAAGUUAAAUAGAAAAGAAUGUGUAUUCUGCAGUUGCUGGGUGUAGUGUUUUAGAAAUGUCAAUUGGGUUAAGUUGCUUGCUCUAAAUGUAGUUUAUUGCCAAUUUUUAAAUUUGUUUAACUUGGUCAUUAGAUACAAACACAAGUAGGAUUAUUAUGUCUCCUUAAUUAAUAGACAAUUUUAUCAUUAUUAAAUGUCCCUGUUUAUUCUGGUAAUACUUUCUGAUUUGGAAUUUACUUUGUCUGAUAUUAAUAUAGCUAAAUCAGCUGUGUUAUUAGCAUUUUUUUAAACAGAGUCUUGCUCUGUCACCCAGGCUGGAGUGCAGUGGUGCAAUUUUGGCUCACUGCAACCUCCACCUCCCAGAUUCAAGUGAUUCUCUUACCUCAGCCUCCCAAGUAGCUGGGAUUACAGGUGCAUGCCACCACACCUGGCUAAUUUUUGUAUGUUUAGUAGAGAUGGGGUUUCAACAUGUUGGUGAACAGGCUGGUCUCGAACUCCUGACCUCAAGAGAUCCACCUGCUUUGGCCUUUCAAAGUGCUGGGAUUACAGGCCUGAGCCACCGUGCCCAGCCUAUUAACAUUUAUUAUUAUGACAUGCCUUUUUUUUCCCUUUACAUCUAACCUAUCUGUGUCUUUUUAUUUAAAGCUUAUUUCUCAUAAAUGACAUUUAGUUGCAUUUUACUUUUGUAACCAAUCUGAAAAUCUUUGCUUUUAAUUAGCCUUUUAGUCUG